GGAGCAUGUUCUUUAUUUCAUGCAACACGAAGAACCUUACCUGGGAUUGACCUCCCGUGGAACCGCUAUGAAAGUAGCGAGUGCUCACUUUGUGAGAACCACGUGACAGGUACUGCAUGGCUGUCGUCAGUUCGUGUCGUAAGAUGUUGGGUUAAGUUCCCGCAACGAACGCAACCCCUGUCUUUAGUUACCAGCAUUAAGUUGGGGACUCUAGAGAGACUGCCAAGGUGACAACUUGGAGGAAGGUGGGGACGACGUCAAGUCAUCAUGGUCCUUACGUCCAGGGCUAGAAACGUACUACAAUGGUUGGCACAGAGGGGAGCAACACAGCGAUGUGAAGCAAAUCCUUAAAACCAACCUCAGUUCGGAUUGGAGUCUGCAACUCGACUCCAUGAAGUUGGAAUCGCUAGUAAUCGCGGAUCAGCAAUGCCGC
rnacentral:rRNA from 1 species